AGAAUUAGGCAAAAAUCUGACGUGCCAUAGAAAUUAAAGAGUGAAAACCGAGGACACCGGGUCGCAUGCAGUAAAUCGGAUCGGCGCGUGGACCAAGACGCUCGAAACGAGGAAAAUUGACGUUGGAGCGACCCGUCAUUUCUUUCUUUCCUCCCGGAUUUCCCUCGACCUCUGGUCCGCUGCGCCACCGCCUUCCCCGCUGCCAUGCCCGGCGCGCACUCCAGGUUCCCCCCUGCGAGCUAUACUGCUGGAGCACCGCAAGUUUUUGGCGCGUGAAUCCUCUCGGCAUCCAGGUGCGGCGCCAUAGUCUGCCUAUCCCCAUUUAUCUUGCAGCAUCCUUUUUCCCCAAUCUCUCGCCUUCUCUAAUCUAUCUGCUUGCCGGCUAGAAUCGGCCAAAUCCAACCCCAAUCGUAUAUCCUUGAGGAAGAAAUUGUCCCCAACUCAUGCGCAACAAUGAAUCGGGGGGGACUUCAAUCGAGAUCUACUCAAGCCGCCGUUGAAUCGGCCGCCCUUGCUGUAGUCGUCGGUGGUGCUCCAGACGCUGCUGCUGUUGCCACCGGUGGUACUCCAGUCGCCGGUGGUGCUCCAGGAGCUGGUGGUCUUCUAGGCCCUCGUGCUCCAGCCACCAGUAGUUUUCCUGCUCUUAGUGCUUAUCCCGCCUGUGCUUGGUGACCAGCUGAAUCUCUUGGCGCAUCCUUCACGGUUGAAUCGUCUCUUUGCGGCUCUGAUUGCUGAUUGUAUUAGCAGUCAUGCCAUUUUGGUGUUGCAGUGCUCUGGGUGAACUGAUUGCACAUUGCUUACUGGAUCAACUGCUACCAAAAUUAGUAUCUAAAGUUUAUUUCGGAUUGUCAUGAGAGACUACCUAAAUUACUAUGUAUUAAGCAUGGCAACACUAUCUAUUAUCUGCCGUGUAAUGAACCUAUUUCGGGUUACAGUUCGAGCCCUACCGGUUUGCCUAGCUGAAUUACUUUGCAUCAAUGUUGAUACAUGUAUUUCUUUCACCGA